rnacentral:rRNA from 1 species
GACGAACGCUGGCGGCGUGCUUAACACAUGCAAGUCGAACGGAAAGGCCCCUUUGGGGGUACUCGAGUGGCGAACGGGUGAGUAACACGUGAGUAACCUGCCCUUGACUUCGGGAUAACUUCAGGAAACUGGGGCUAAUACCGGAUAGGAAUCCUUGCUGCAUGGUGGGGGUUGGAAAGCUUCGGCGGUUUUGGAUGGACUCGCGGCUUAUCAGCUUGUUGGUGGGGUAGUGGCUUACCAAGGCUUUGACGGGUAGCCGGCCUGAGAGGGCGACCGGCCACAUUGGGACUGAGAUACGGCCCAGACUCCUACGGGAGGCAGCAGUGGGGAAUAUUGCACAAUGGGCGGAAGCCUGAUGCAGCAACGCCGCGUGCGGGAUGACGCCCUUCGGGUUGUAAACCGCUUUCAGCAGGGGCGAAGCUUGUGGUGACGGUACCUGCAGAAGAAGCACCGGCUAACUACGUG